rnacentral:lncRNA from 1 species
UAGAUUACCAACUCAUAACUUAGCCCAAAACCAUACCUUCUAUCUUCAAACACCAUGUGUCGUUUCAGAAUAACUCGUCAUAACAUACUCAGUCUUUCAGGCGAACAUUAUUUAUUCUUACAGGUACUACUCUUGGAUGUAUCUCUUAGGUCACACAUCUAUCUGGCCAUUUUGGUAUACAUCGAUUAUACUAACUGAUGUAACUCGAGUGUCGCUCAAUAUGAUAUCCCCAAGCGAUAUACGAUACCGCUCGGCAUCUUGCUCACGCCUGGCCAUCCCGACGUACAGAACUUAGUAUAUUAGAAAAUAAAGUUUCUAUAUAUUAUGAAAAUUUGAUAGAGAGA